UGGGGGAUAUUGCACAAUGGGGGAAACCCUGAUGCAGCGACGCCGCGUGAGUGAAGAAGUAUUUCGGUAUGUAAAGCUCUAUCAGCAGGGAAGAAGAUGACAGUACCUGAGUAAGAAGCCCCGGCUAACUAUGUGCC
rnacentral:rRNA from 1 species